CGUCGGGCCUAUUUUGUUGGUUUAAGGACCGUCGUAAUGAUUAAUAGGGACAGUUGGGGCCGUUCAUAUUCCGUAGUCAGAGGUGAAAUUCUUGGAUUUACGGAAGAUGAACUAAUGCGAAAGCAUUCGGCAAGGAUGUUUUCGUUAAUCAAGAACGAAAGUUAGGGGAUCGAAGACGAUCAGAUACCGUCGUAGUCUUAACCAUAAACUAUGCCGACUCGGGAUCAGCAAGAGUCGUUUACGACCUUGCUGGCACCGUGUGAGAAAUCAAAGUCUUUGGGUUCCGGGGGGAGUAUGGUCGCAAGGCUGAAACUUAAAGGAAUUGACGGAAGGGCACCACCAGGAGUGGAGCCUGCGGCUUAAUUUGACUCAACACGGGGAAACUCACCA
rnacentral:rRNA from 1 species